CCGGCCGCGGCCGCCGCCGCCCCGCCGGGCGCCGCCCGCCGCCCAGAACAGGAAACGGCAGGAUGCCGCCGGCAAGAAGGAGGCGUACGUGUGCCGCGUGUGCCAGUCCAAGUUCCGCGACCCGCAGUCGGUGUUGCAGCACCUCAAGCAGUUCCAUCGGGAGCAUGCCAUGAAGGCCUGGAGCAAGUUCCAGGAGAACCUGCGCACGCGUCAGCCGGAGCCGGCGUCGGG